GUUCCGUAGGUGAACCUGCGGAAGGAUCAUUAUUGUAUAACCGAGGUGCGAGGGCUGUCGCUGACCCAACAGGUCGUGCACGCCCGAGUGCCCUCACACACAUCCAUCUCACCCCUAUGUGCACCACCGCGUGGGUCCCCCUUUGGCUUGUUCGGAGGGGGGCUUACGUUUUCACACAAACUUUGUAUGCAGUGUAGAAUGUAUUUUUGUUUUUGCGAUCACGCAAUCAAUACAACUUUCAACAACGGAUCUCUUGGCUCUC
rnacentral:misc_RNA from 1 species